AGUACUACCCCAAAGGCAUAUACAUCUACUUUGGGAGAAACAUCACCGUAUUGCGCAUAUCUGCAAACAAACAUGAAUUAAGUUAAAUACUAAACAAAAUCAAAUUUUUUUUCUAUUCCAGAGCUAAUGUAGUCUUAUGUAGAAUCUUUCAACUGAAAUUCCUACUAA